rnacentral:rRNA from 1 species
UACAGAGGUCUCAAGCGUUGUUCGGAUUCAUUGGGCGUAAAGGGUGCGUAGGUGGUGGGGUAAGUCGGAUGUGAAAUCUCCGAGCUCAACUCGGAAAUGGCAUUGGAUACUACUCUGCUCGAGGGUUGGAGGGGGGACUGGAAUGCUUGGUGUAGCAGUGAAAUGCAUAGAUAUCAAGCGGAACACCAGUGGCGAAGGCGAGUCCCUGGACAACUCCUGACACUGAGGCACGAAAGCUAGGGGAGCAAACAGG